AAAAAAAAAAAAAAAAAAAGCAACAACUGAAAACGGUGGCAACAAAUGAUGUCUUGACAUAAAAUGCGUAUUGAAUAUCCUGUAAAUGAUCUUCUCCCCCGAUUGGACAAGUACCAAGCGGAUGAUGAAAGUAGACUGGCUGCCUUGAGAAUCCCCUUCAACUUGGAUCGACUUCCAUAUGCUCACCACUGGUAUUUUGGAUGUAAAAACUGCUCAUACAUUAAUAACCCAGAUUGCAACUGACAUGAGGAGCACCGACAGAUGCAAAAUCAACAUUUAUCCCUUCUCCCCAAACGCAACUUUGCGAAAGGCCGAUGUGCUGCUGUCAGAUGGAUUUCAACUUUGACACAGCCCUUGUAUCCAGUGGUUCAUUCCGGACAAUUCAUACCUCCAGAAUGAAGAAUUGACUCUCAGAGAAAGAGGAGCUUUGCCUGGGUCGUGGAUGUGUAUGGGAACUGUUCUGUCACUAAUCUGGCACAAACAAAACUGGACUACGCCAAGCAGAACAUCUUUUAUGCCAGUCAAAAAUAUUUUAAUCUGGCCCUGCCCAUUUCCACUGGAUUGGACCUUCAAGGAACUGUAAGACCUCAAAAGCUCCCCUGCCCCCCUGUUUCAGGGUCCUCUUUAAUCCAGCAGUCUCCAUUUUGGAAAUGGGCUGGAAAGACUCACACGAGGGUCAUACAGCAAGAGAAACAGGCCCAAAUCAUCAGUCAUGUCUGAAGAUAAAAACACAGU